rfam:TPA: Bos taurus chromosome 19, whole genome shotgun sequence.
UCCCUGGCAGUCUAGUGGUUAAGACUCUGUGCUUCCAAUGCAGGAGUGUGGGUUCGAACCCUGGUUGGGGAA